rnacentral:snoRNA from 12 species
UGGCAGUUAUCCUUUUCUAGUCUGGCUCCUGGGACUCUAGAAGGAGUCAGUCUGCAACAAUAAGUGGUGAGUUCUUCUGUCCAGUGUCAGUGUUUGAUGGUGGCUGUAGACCUGCCAGAUAUCA